rnacentral:rRNA from 1 species
UGAUACGUAGAUGGCGAGCGUUAUCCGGAUUUACUGGGCGUAAAGGGUCGCGCAGGUGGAAAGCCGCGUCAUACUUGAAAGGUUUCGGCUCAACUGAAACUUGUGGUGUGAUACGGGUUUUCUAGAGUAGUGCAGGGGCAAGCGGAACUUCCGGUGGAGCAGUGAAAUGCGUUGAUAUCGGAAGGAACACCAAAGGCGAAGGCAGCUUGCUGGGCACUUUCUGACACUUAGGCACGAAAGCGUGGGGAGCGAAACGGAUUAGAUACCCGUGUAGUCCACGCCGUAAACGAUGGAUGCUUGAUAUCGGGGGUAUUGACCCCCUCGGUGUCUUAAGCUAACGCGUUAAGCAUCCCGCCUGGGGAGUACGGCCGCAAGGCUA